UGGGGAAUAUUGCACAAUGGGCGAAAGCCUGAUGCAGCAACGCCGCGCGAACGAUGAAGGUCUUCGGAUCGUAAAGUUCUGUUGCAGGGGAAGAUAAUGACGGUACCCUGUGAGGAAGCCCCGGCUAACUACGUGCCAGCAGCCGCGGUAAUACGUAGGGGGCUAGCGUUAUCCGGAUUUACUGGGCGUAAAGGGUGCGUAGGUGGUCCUUCAAGUCGGUGGUUAAAGGCUACGGCUCAACCGUAGUAAGCCGCCGAAACUGGAGGACUUGAGUGCAGGAGAGGAAAGUGGAAUUCCCAGUGUAGCGGUGAAAUGCGUAGAUAUUGGGAGGAACACCAGUAGCGAAGGCGGCUUUCUGGACUGCAACUGACACUGAGGCACGAAAGCGUGGGUAGCAAACAGGAUUAGAUACCCUGGUAGUCCACGCUGUAAACGAUGAGUACUAGGUGUCGGGGGUUACCCCCCUCGGUGCCGCAGCUAACGCAUUAAGUACUCCGCCUGGGGAGUACGCACGCAAGUGUG
rnacentral:rRNA from 1 species